AAUGCCAUGGUACUGGCUGGUGCCAGGGGGAGGCGUGAGCUCAGGGCGGCUGUUGUCGCCGACGACCGUGUUGACUCCGCCAGCCUGGAGGCCCUGGAGGCAGGGACCAUUGAAGAGGCCACUGACCUGGGGCGUCACCAUGGACUGGGGGUCGAAGAAGGAGGGGAUCGG
rnacentral:SRP_RNA from 1 species